UACCCGGCUCACUAGGCCUGAUGAAGCAA
rnacentral:sRNA from 1 species